rnacentral:snoRNA from 1 species
AGCACCCUGAUUCCUGUUCUAGGAUCUGGGUGCUGUGCAGCCUCCAGAGACCCUGCAGUCUCCCAGUGUCCUACUGGGGGCUGCUGGGGCCUGUGGCUGACUGN